rnacentral:tRNA from 1 species
AGCUUGUUAGUUUAAGUUUAAAAUUUUUAUUUGUGGGGUAAAGGAUUUUUGGGCUA